UUUGAGUUUGAUCCUGGCUCAGGAUGAACGCUGGCGGCGUGCUUAACACAUGCAAGUCGAACGAUGAUCUCCAGCUUGCUGGGGGGAUUAGUGGCGAACGGGUGAGUAACACGUGAGUAACCUGCCCUUGACUCUGGGAUAAGCCUGGGAAACUGGGUCUAAUACCGGAUACGACCGUCCCGCGCAUGCGGUGGUGGUGGAAAGCUUUUGCGGUUUUGGAUGGACUCGCGGCCUAUCAGCUUGUUGGUGGGGUAAUGGCCUACCAAGGCGACGACGGGUAGCCGGCCUGAGAGGGUGACCGGCCACACUGGGACUGAGACACGGCCCAGACUCCUACGGGAGGCAGCAGUGGGGAAUAUUGCACAAUGGGCGAAAGCCUGAUGCAGCGACGCCGCGUGAGGGAUGACGGCCUUCGGGUUGUAAACCUCUUUCAGUAGGGAAGAAGCGAAAGUGACGUAC
rnacentral:rRNA from 2 species